AUCAACUUUCGAUGGUAGGAUAGAGGCCUACCAUGGUGGUAACGGGUAACGGGGUGUUAGGGCACGACACCGGAGAGGGAGCCUGAGAAACGGCUACCACAUCCAAGGAUGGCAGCAGGCGCGCAAAUUACCCAAUCCCGACACGGGGAGGUAGUGACAAUAAAUAACAAUACGGGGUUCUAUAGGAUUUCGUAAUUGGAAUGAGUACAAUUUAAAUCUCUUAACGAUCAACAAUUGGAGGGCAAGUCUGGUGCCAGCAGCCGCGGUAAUUCCAGCUCCAAUAGCGUAUAUUAAAGUUGUUGCAGUUAAAAAGCUCGUAGUUGAAUUUCGGGGUUAGUAGGUUGGUCAUGCCUCUGGUAUGUACUGAUCUCACUGAUUCCUCCCUCUUGACGAACUGUGAUGUCAUUAAUUUGGUGUUGCAGGAAAUCAGGACUGUUACUUUGAAAAAAUUAGAGUGUUUAAAGCAGGCUUAGGCUUGAAUACAUUAGCAUGGAAUAAUGAAAUAGGACGUUUGAACCUAUUUUGUUGGUUUCUAGGAUCGACGUAAUGAUUAAUAGGGAUAGUUGGGGGCAUUAGUAUUCAAUUGUCAGAGGUGAAAUUCUUGGAUUUAUUGAAGACUAACUACUGCGAAAGCAUUUGCCAAGGAUGUUUUCAUUAAUCAAGAACGAAAGUUAGGGGAUCGAAGACGAUCAGAUACCGUCGUAGUCUUAACCAUAAACUAUGCCGACUAGGGAUCGGAUGAUGUUAAUUUUUUAAUGACUCAUUCGGCGCCUUACGGGAAACCAAAGUGUUUGGGUU
rnacentral:rRNA from 1 species